CCAACCUGGGAGAUGGAGCAAGACUGUCAAAAAACAAAACAAAAAAAACCUACUAGAAGCAAGGCUGUGAGCAGAAAACUAAAAACUGAAACAGAAACCACAAUUUUCCAAAUGCUACUGUUACUUACAAAAUAAGAAAGCAUUAUACUAAAUCAAUAUCUAAGACACAAACUAAGUUCAAACUCAACAACAGUGUAUUUAGAUUUACAUAUAUCAAGAAGACACCAUUAAUACAGUGAACUAACAUUAACUCUAUACAGAAGUAUAUUUUUGAAAAUAAGAAAACUGCUUCUUUGAGUAACUUGUUUGGUUGACAUAUUCUGACAAAUCUUGUAACCAAGAUAUGGGGGUCUCACUUUGUUGCCUAGGCUGGAGUGUAAUGGUGAUUCUGACAAAUGAUCAUAGCACGCUACAACCUCUACAUCCUGGGCUCAAGAGCUUCUCCUGCCUCAGCGUCCCAAGUAACUGGGACUACAGAUUUCAGUUUAGGUUUAUCCGUGGAAAGAUGGAGGAAUGAGAGCUAGAGAACAAGAGAGCAAGUGAGAGUAAUGGAAAGUCCAAAGGAAAAAGAUGGACAAGACGAAUGAAGGGAAACAAGAAGGAAAAGAGAGAGGCAGAGGGAGAGGGAGACUUAUUUGAGGAUUU
rnacentral:lncRNA from 1 species